GCUACAUGACAAUGGUGGACUUACGAACCGUGUCAGGUCUGGAAGGAAGCAGCACUAAGUUUAGCUUCACCAUGUGUCAUGUAUACAU
rnacentral:SRP_RNA from 1 species